GGGCAGCCCAAGAAGGAACACAUGCACGCAGCCGAGUGAUAGCAACAAGGAGAGAGCAGAGCACCACACCGGUAGCACAUCUGACAACACUUCUGACAAUACCCCUCUCACCACCCACAGUCUGUACCAACACAGCUACCCACUGCCCCUCACACCACCUCAGCCUCUGCCCACACAGCUACCCAUUGCCCCCACCACCACUCCCAAACUCUGCCAACAUAGCUACCCACUGCCCCUCACACCACCCCUAAGCCCUAUCCACACAGCUAACCCACUGCCCCUCACACCAUGCCCAGCCUGUCCCCACACAACUACCCACUAUCCCUCCCACCACCCACAGCCUGUCCCCACACAGCUACUCACUGCCCCUCCCACCACCCACAGCCUGUCCCCACACAGCUACCCACUGCCCCUCCCACCACCCCCAAGCCCUAUCCACACAGCUAACCCACUGCCCCUCACACCACCCAUAAGCCCUAUCCACACAGCUAACUCACUGCCCUUCACACCACCCCCAUGUCCCCACACAGCUACCCACUGCCCCUCACACCACCCAUAAGCCCUAUCCACACAGCUAACUCACUGCCCUUCACACCACCCCAUGUCCCCACACAGCUACCCACUGCCCCUCACACCACCCAUAAGCCCUAUCCACACAGCUAACUCACUGCCCUUCACACCACCCCCAUGUCCCCACACAGCUACCCACUGCCCCUCACACCACCCAUAAGCUCUAUCCACACAGCUAACCCACUGCCCCUCAAUGAGCCAGGUCCUCCCC